UACGGAAGGCAGCAGUGGGGAAUAUUGCACAAUGGGCGCAAGCCUGAUGCAGCCAUGCCGCGUGUAUGAAGAAGGCCUUCGGGUUGUAAAGUACUUUCAGUCGUGAGGAAGGUGUUAAGGUUAAUAACCUUAGCAAUUGACGUUAGCGACAGAAGAAGCACCGGCUAACUCCGUGCCAGCAGCCGCGGUAAUACGGAGGGUGCGAGCGUUAAUCGGAAUUACUGGGCGUAAAGGGCACGCAGGCGGUUAAUUAAGUUGGAUGUGAAUCCCGGGCUUAACCUGGGAAUGGCAUUCAAGACUGGUUAGCUAGAGUCUUGUAGAGGGGGUAGAAUUCCAUGUGUAGCGGUGAAAUGCGUAGAGAUGUGGAGGAAUACCGGUGGCGAAAGGCGGCCCCUGGACAAAGACUGACGCUCAUGUGCGAAAGCGUGGGGAGCAAACAGGAUUAGAUACC
rnacentral:rRNA from 1 species